rnacentral:tRNA from 1 species
AGGGAAGUGGCACAAUUGGUAGCGCAACGGUCUCCAAAACCGUAGGUUGUGGGUUCGAGUCCCGCCUUCCCUGC